rnacentral:rRNA from 1 species
AUUGAACGCUGGCGGCAUGCCUUACACAUGCAAGUCGAACGGCAGCGCGGGGGCAACCCUGGCGGCGAGUGGCGAACGGGUGAGUAAUAUAUCGGAACGUACCCAAGAGUGGGGGAUAACGUAGCGAAAGUUACGCUAAUACCGCAUACGAUCUAAGGAUGAAAGUGGGGGACCGCAAGGCCUCACGCUCCUGGAGCGGCCGAUAUCUGAUUAGCUAGUUGGUGGGUAAAGGCCUACCAAGGCAUCGAUCAGUAGCUGGCCUGAGAGGACGACCAGCCACACUGGGACUGAGACACGGCCCAGACUCCUACGGGAGGCAGCAGUGGGGAAUUUUGGACAAAUGGGGGGCAACCCUGAUCCAGCAAUGCCGCGUGAGUGAAGAAGGCCUGGUUGUAAGACUCUUUGUCUAGGGAAGAAACGGUUAGGGG